rnacentral:rRNA from 1 species
CACGUAGGAUCCGAGCGUUAUCCGGAUUUACUGGGCGUAAAGCGCGUGUAGGUGGUUUGCUAAGUUGGGUGUUAAAUCUCCCGGCUCAACUGGGAGGUGUCGCUCAAAACUAGCAGACUGGAGGAUGGUAGAGGGAGGUGGAAUUCCGGGUGUAGUGGUGAAAUGCGUAGAUAUCCGGAGGAACACCAGUGGCGAAGGCGGCCUCCUGGACCAUUCCUGACACUCCAACGCGAAAGCUAGGGGAGCAAACGGGAUUAGAAACCCU